CCCACACCCAUGUGAGUAGGACAUCAAAGGAUCACCAUUAAAUUUGGCAUAGAUCUCCAGAAAAGUUAUCAGAUGGGUGUAAGAGUUGACUUUUCUAUAGAUCUGUGCCAAAUUUGAUGGUGAUCAUUUGGGGUCCUACUCACAUGGGUGUAGG
rnacentral:pre_miRNA from 1 species